GGCUUUCAACGACUAUAUCAACCAAAUCAAGCUAGAUACGUUGAUAUGUUGUUUGAAUGCCCC
rnacentral:pre_miRNA from 1 species